GACGAACGCUGGCGGCGUGCUUAACACAUGCCAGUCGAACGGAAAGGCCCUGCUUUUGUGGGGUGCUCGAGGGGCGCACGGGUGAGAAACACGUGUGUAACCUGCCCUUGCCUUUCGGAUAACUUCAGGAAACUGGGGAUAAUACCGGAUAGGAGCUCUUGCUCCACAGGGUGGGUUGGAAAGUUUCGGCGGUUGGGGAUGGACUCGCGGCUUAUCAGCUUGUUGGUGGGGUAGUGGCUUACCAAGGCUUUGACGGAUAGCCGGCCUGGGAGCGUGACCGGCCACAUUGGGACUGAGAUACGGCCCAGAAGCCGACGGGAGGCAUCAGUGGUGAGCAUUACACAGUGGCCGGAAGCCUGAGGCGGCAACGCCGGGUGCGGGAUGACGGCCUUCGGGGGGUAAACCGCUUUCGCCUUGGAUGAAGCGGUAGUGACGGUAAUGGGUAAAGAAGCACCGGCUAACUACGUG
rnacentral:rRNA from 1 species